rnacentral:rRNA from 1 species
UGGGAACCUGCCCAAAGGUGCGGAACAACUCCGGGAAACUGGAGCUAAUACCGUAUGUGCCCGAAAGGGGUAAAGAUUUCAUCGCCUUUGGAUCGGCCCGCGUCUGAUUUAGCUAGUUGGCUGGGUAAUGGCCCACCUAGGCGACGAUCAGUAGCUGGUCUGAGAGGAUGACCAGCCACACUGGGGACUGAGACACGGCCCAAACUCCUACGGGAGGCAG